CAGUGCUUUAAAAAUCAGGAAAUGCUGGGCCUUUCUCGCACCUGACCUACAUGAAGCGUGACAACAAAUAAACAAUGUCCUGAUGAACGACAUUAUCAGAGAUUUCAUGAAUCCUUUUGUGUUUAACUUGAAUAAUACCCUCAUCUUCUAAGUCUGUUUCAGAGCAUGAGUCCAUGUAGUCUUGCGGGACCUGCUGGAAAACUGCCUCUAUGUAAAGGGCGAAAAUGUGAGUUCCGUGUCCAGUCCAUUCAGUUGCGGGCAGACCCGGCCAAGAUCAAGGCAGUAGUGGAAUGGCUGGAGCCACUAAAGUUUGGUGGCAGUCUCUGGCCAAAGAUAUCCAGAAAUAUGUCUCUGCUUGUCCCACCUGUGCUUAGAACAUGACUUCCAGCUCACCACCCGCUGGCUGACUAAGACUACUACCCAUGCCCAGUUGUCCUUGGUCACACAUUGCUUUGGAUUUUGUCAUGGGACUACCACUCCCCCUCAGUGCCUUCGAAACAGCUUAACUACUCACCGGUCACAUUUUCCGUUUACAUGGAAUCCCCGAGGACUGUGUCUGAUCGGCAGCCCCAGUUUAUGUCUCAUAUCUGAAAGGAGUUUUGUGACGAACUAGGGGCCAAGGUCAGCCUCGUGUCUGAAUAUCUCCUCCCAGGCUAAUGUACAAGCAGAGAGGGCCAAUCAAGAGCUAGAGGCCACUCUCCGUGGUAUUCCAUCAACUACCCAGUCCGUGGCAUCGCAGCUUUCCUGGGUGGAUUAUGCCCAUAACUCCAUGACCUCUUUUGCUAACCACCACUACUACCAGCUAUUGAAAGAGAACACUCAGUUCCAUCAGUCCAACACCACCUUGUCAGUCUACCCGGGUGCCUCUGCUCAGAAAAAAAUACCUAGCCAACUGUCACAGAGUUCCUGCCCCGCUGUGAACCACGGGUAUAGAGAUGCCCAAAUAUCCCCUAUGCCAGCUGUGAUUUUAACACAUGUAAAUGGUAUUUCAGGAAUCAUUGACACAAAGUAUUUACAGAACACUGAAAUAAAGUUUGGGAAAUAUAC